UUAGAGGUCUUUUUCAACCUUAAUGAUUUUAUGAUUCUAUGAUUAUUUAUUCAUAGUGACUUCCUAAACUGACACCUGAACCAUGUUCUUUCUCCUACUACACGGAGUGACAGAUCCUCUGUGCUCUCUUUCCCUCUCCACCUUAAGCGGAGACGACUCCUGCCCACCUUAAUCUUUUAUAUACUCACUGAAUAAUAACCUUUUUGGUCAUUUACUCAGGAAGGAUUUGUCAUUCCAAUACUUCAUUAAUCCUAUAACAUAAAAUCCAGAAGAUAUGUAUGUGGCUGAGAGGAGGCAUGUAAUUCCUUUGGUGGUAUUCACACUUAAAUAUAACACAGUGUAAGAGCAAAUCAGUUUUGAGGCGAGCUGUCAAAGCCACUCUCUUCCACCACUUUUGGGGAUCACUGUCACCAGGAUGUUAAUUAGGCAUGGGGAGGAGAUGAGGCUAUUCCAGCAGAUCAGAACUCUCUGGGAAACCCUGAACCAAAUCCCUGUGGUGUAAAUGCAGGGAAAUACAGCUUAUUUGUGUAAUUGUGGUCCAUCUUUGUGCCAGUGGCUCCACAUUGGUCAAGGGGCUGCUUUGAAAGUUGCUGGAGAUGCUCUGCCUGAUGCUCAGGGCACUGUCCCUCUUACACGUGGUUUUCUGAGGAAUGUUCCCACUCUUUCAAACACCCGGGGAGAACUGCUUUUGUGGGAUUAUUACAGAACCUCCUGGGGAAAAGACAAAUCAGGCUUUUUAUCUGCUUUUUGGCUUGCCACAAGCGAGUCCCAACUUCCUGCCACUAAAGGCACUUCUGCUUCUCUCUGCUCUGUCAAAGGACUUAAGAUGAUCAAUUUAUAACGUCUACAGAGUGCUAGGAUGAAAAGAUGUUCUGAAAAUGCCUCAGAUGAAAAGAAGCUGUAAAAAAAAACUAAUCUUUACCCUGAUAGACUGAUUACAAUCUAUUGUGCUGUGGAUUAGCGGGUGAGUAUUUAUUCUGCUUAUUUUUUUACUCCUAUGUACAGAUGCUCUGGACCACAAUGACCUCUUUGAAGUCAUUAUUGGCUCUCGCAUCCAUGAGUAGUAUGGAGGGCACAUUAAUAAACUGUAUAUAGAAAAAGACAAUGAAGUCCCCAAGAAGUCAUUAAGAGUCUAUUGUGUCAGUCUGACUGUGGCCCACAAAAGAUACUGAAUAUGUAAGCUAAAAAUAUCCUUCGGAAAUGCUGUUGACACAGUUAUUUUACAUUGGCAGCAACAUCUUCCCCCCACAUACACACGCUCCCCUUGCUAAUCCUGCUCAGAGCAAUCCAUGUUCUGGGAAUCAUCUGUUUUUUUUUUUUCUUGGGAUUCAGAGACCUCCAGAUAGCAGCACUCUGCUGGCACUUUGCAGCUUUGUUAGGGAAAAACAGGAGCGUAUCUUUUAUUCCUGCCCUAUAUCCUCCUAUGUAUGAAGUGCUGCACAAACACCCAACUGAUGACUGCAGUUAUGUCAAAGGGCUGUCAGCUGAAAAGAACAGAGCAUAAAAAUAUGGGAAGGGAGCAGGUAUCCACACUUCUUCUGUCCUUUUGGACCCAGCUGUGCCCCCACCACUCAGCCCCUCAGUUUCCUGUACCCAAGUCCACGAGGGACGCUCAGCCCAGCAGCAGAGGAUUUGACCUCAGAUUUUUCUGGUGACACCAGCACUGACACUCUGCCUCCUCCACGUUGGCAUGGAUGCUUAGAAGAGCUGCUCCCAAAGGAUGACAAAUGAAAUGGGACCAGCCUGUCUGUGAAGGGGAACACUUCCCUCUGCUAACAGCUUGACUGAGAUUCACCCAGUUUGCUUCCUAACCGUUGGAACUGCCCCCACCAGUGAGUAGGUAAGGACGUAGACACAGCCGAUUAACAAGGCUUGGAUGAUGGACCAGCCCUCCAGGAUGCUGUUAUGGGAUGGUACAACAUCAUAAAAUGAAGAUGGUCCUCUUCACUGAGCCCAGCCCUCCUUGUAAGCUGCCAUUGUUGCUGGGUAUCCCUGCAGAGCAUCAUGGACAUCUGUCAGUCUCAAGGUUCCAUUAGCUUUUCUUGGCCUCAGACAAUAAUGCCGUGGAGUUAAUUUCAUUCAUUUAACCAUUGGGAAGGGGGGCAGGGGCUGAAAAAUAGACAGAAAGAAUUUUCUUUUAUUCUGAUGGAUGCCACGCUUGCAUCCCUGAUGCAGUGUCAGCACUCAUGGCAUCUCAAGCUUGGCAAAUAAUCGCUUGCUUCAGUGGUCAAACUGAAGGAAAAUCAGAGAGAGAAAAAAAAAAAGUUCUUCAAGGUUAUUCUACAAAAUAUUUUGACCCAAGACAGAAAAAAAGAUCUUCAUUUAAGGACAUUUACUGCUGUGUUUUUUUUGCUUUAAUUUCUAAUUAGAUUAGCAGAGGAUUAAGAGGCCAAUUUCAAAAAGUGCAGUUUCAGAAGGGAAAGUUGAAGACUUCUGGUGGGAAACAAAUGUGAGAAAAUAUUUUGAUCUCUCUUUUUGUUUCUUAAUUUUAACUUUGUAUUUUUUGCCCUAAGUGAAAUUGUCCACAUGCUGAGUUUGUAUUGGCAGGCAGUUCCACUUUCCCUAGAUGCCGCGUAUCAAUGAAUUAAACAUUUGCACAAAGAACGUUGCCUUCCUCUCCUCUCAUGAUCCUGGUCUUGCUGAGGUGAAAUGCAAGCAAAAAACACUGGAGCAGGUAGCAGAGAAGUGGCUGCUGGAGUAUCAACACCACAUUUUAAGAGGAGAGUUGGAAGAGGAACCAGCAUGGAGCAUCCCUCUUAUUUUAUUUUUGUUUUUCCCAUAGAACUGCUCCCCCUCCAGCUCAAAGGCUGCCUGCCUGGGGCUGCUGCUUGGCACUGUUGUGAGUAGGCAGCAUUGUCCUCUGAGCUCCAGGAAAAUUGGGGGCUGUGUACCCAAAGUAUAACCAUGGGUCACUAGAGGAGGAUACCAGAUGGAAAUCAGAGGGCAGUGCUUAGCAGAUGUGAGAACACUGAAAAUAAGAAACAAAACCCCAUUACCCACAAUCAUUAUCAGCCUCCCUCCUCUUGGAACUAAAAACAGGCUAUUUAGCUCAUUCUAGUAGAACUUUUAUUAAGAAGCUGCUGGAUAUUGGCAUUGAUAACUUGCCAGUAAACCCAGGCAGGGAGCCUUCUGCACCAAAUCCCUUUUAGCAACAAAAUAAAGACAUUGGUGAUCUGUGUAACUCUCCAUUAACCAUGCUUAGUUUGAAAAGAAUAGAUUGUCUCUGUUUUUUGUGAUCUUGUUUGAAAUCUUUGGGCAGGCGUCACUGUAUGAUUAAAUCACCUGCUCCACAAAGAUGCUCUGUAAUUAAUUACGAGGGAAUCCAAAUUCUAAGAUGGGAAGGAAAAAAAUGUAAGAAAAUAACCUAGAGGUGACAAUAAAAAAUUACUUCAGCUGUGGAAUGGCACUGGAGGCAUCCAACUUGCUGUUGUCGUUACACAUCCUGCAGUAUGUUCUGUGGGCACUGGAUGAAUGCCCCUGUUGGUCAUUGUUGGCUAACGAGAAGAGAAGUGAUGACAGGGCAGCACUGAUAGCACCAUACCACCACUGAAAUGGAGGCUCUUCUGGGCACUAAUGUGAUGGAUAUUUGUGGAGAACUCUAUAUGCAAAUGAUAGAAAGCAGAGAGUAGGAGAGAAGCAGAGAGGAUCUCAAAAGCCAGAUAAUCCUUGCCAAAACCUGACAUUUCCUGUGGCAGAUGUCAUUUUAGACAUGAACAGUGAAUUAUUGCACCUUGACUAAAGAAUCCAACUUCUGAUGGCUUUCACUUGUUUUAUCCAGUCACAGCACUCUUCCUUUGAUAGGUACGGCAAAUUCCUUUCAUUGAAUCAGGAACAAGAGGUUUUUGCUGUGUUUGAGUGAGCAAAAACCCAAAUGAUUCUCUUCCUAAUUAGCCUAAUGAGCCUUUUGGCUCUCACAUGAUGACAAGUAAAUGAAUUUGCCCUUUCCUUGACAAGUUCUUAUGGGAAUGAUCCGAAGCCUUUUGUAACAAUGCAUCAAAAGUACAAAGUCAUUAAAAACAGUUGUCCAACUAUGAAAUUAGUUAUUGAUUAAUAUUGCUUCCAGACAGCCAUAUUGUUCAUUCAAAAAGAAAAAAAAAAGUAAAAAAAAAAAGGUAGAAAUGAAUCUCAAUGUUCAUAUUUCUUCAUGAAAGUAAUUUAUUGAGGUACACAAAACAUCUGAGAUCCUGAGGUCAUAUCUGUCAGUAUUCUACACUCACUUUUCUCAUUUGGAGCUCAACAGGGGUCUUGCACUGAGAAGAAGUGGUUGAUUGAUUACCAUAAAUAUCUUGACUAAUUCCAGCUUGAUAUCCCCAUUCCCAGGUGCAGAGAUCAGCUUCUUCUGGAAGAAAUGUAUCUAAAAUGAGCAGAAGUGCUCUCCUGUGUAUCACGGGGACGUUGUCAUCUCCCAGGCUGUGAUAUGUGGCUAAAAAAAGAACAGAGGGCUCCUAAAGUAGCCGAAAAGUGCAUGAUCUGUGAGUAGAGCCAGGAGACAACUGAGUCAUCUCAAGUGCUACAGAGGGCCAAAAGAGUGGUAUUGGAGUGAAUAUGAGUGCAGAGCAGGCUGUGAGCAACGGCCCCAUCUCCAUGAUUUCCAUAGUCAAGCAGAUAGUACAAGAGAUGUGUGCUUGUGCAUUUGUAUCAUUCAGACUCCAUGUUUUCAGAUUCUUUGAACGGAGAACAAGAAAAAUGAUGGAGGAAAAGGAUCAGUGAGAAAACACUUGGAAUCACACCAGCGAGAAAGCCCCUGCUUUGCUAACACUGUGGUGGUUGGCAGUGGGAAAUAACUAACCUCCUACCACAGUGAUAGCUGAUAGUUAUAGCAUGCUUAAAACAGUCAUGUAUUUUGUAUCCCACUCUCUUCCACAGAAGUCACGUUUGCCAGAAACUUAAAAAAAGAUUCAAGUAUGGUUCAUGUUUCAUUUUGCUCUGAGGUAAUUGCCAGUCAGCAGCCAUUUGUGGUCUAAGAUGACUGGAAGUUUUAAAGCAGAAUGUGGGCUUUUCCCACUUAUCUACUUACCAAAACCAACAUCUACUGGGGAAAAAAAAAUCAACACAAUAAACAACAGAACAAAACAGUAUCUCAGAGGAGUCUGGCACACAAAUGACACAGUUAAAAUGUUGCUCCACUAUUACAAUUGCUUCAGAAUGAUUACUAUCCUUCUAUUUCAUCCUCAGCUGAUUAGUCCCUAGGCUCAAUUGCUUUCAAAUGAAUAAAACACCAUCUAUUUGUGUUUUUCCUUCUGUGAGGGAAAAAAAAAAAAAAAAUCUACUUAUUGUGAUAAAGAGAUUGGUUUUAUCUGUGUGGACUUUUGUUCUAAGGAAUGCAAUAAUUUUGCUGGUACUGAAAUUCCGAUUUUGAGUGUUUUUAAUUAGACUAUUGUCUACUCUGUUGAUUUGAGAAAUGGUUUGCAUAACUGACCCAAACACCUCCGGAAGCUUAAACUGAAUUUUGGAAAGCAUUACUGAAUAUUUUUCCUGUCUUCCUCCUCGCUGGACAGAAAAAGCUGAAAAGCCCCAAGCACAGUCGGAUACGCAAACCCACAAGAAUACUAGCAGCUAUGCGUUUCCCAUCACCAGUUGUUCAGGAAAUGCUGUACUUCAAAGAUAUCAGGUCAUUGCCCUUUUUCAAUACAAGGCGUUGAGAUAUAGUUUUGAAAAAUUUUCAGUUGUCAUCCAAGAUGAAUCUUAUCACGUUUACCCAUUAUUUCGAAUCAGAUCUGAAACAUGACAGGCAUAAUUUGGAUUGAGAUAUUUGGCAUUUCCCAAACCCCUGCCAUAUGUCACUCAAAGCCAUUGAUGGGCACUUCAAAGAAAACCAGCAUGCAGUUUUGAGCAGUUCUUUGCAAGUUUCUUUGUAGCAAAAUUUCCUACUUGGAAGCCCUCUAGUUAAGCUUGCAUUUCUGAUAAAUUUCCAUGCAUUAUUAACCUAAUUGGACCCAACAUAUAUUCUAAGAUUCUCAUUAAUAUUUUUAACAUGUUAUGGCAUCUUUAUCCUUGAGCAGUCAACCAAGUUUUCAUCUUCAUAAAAAUGGGUUCCUCAUAAUCGGACAAUCCAAUCAUUUCCAGUCCAUAAGGUAAAUUUCCUCUAUAUUCUUUGAUUUUGCAGGAUUUUUUUUUUUAACCAAUCAGCAUAAUACAUUUCACCCUAUGGUUUAUUUCUCCGUAAACCUUGCCACAAUUGCUGGAAGCUUCUAACUGGAAAGGAUGCCAACUUGAGCUGGAGGACACAUCUAAGAGAUGACCUCAGGCCAACUGAAAGAAGGUAGAGCAUUUUAGGAGGACCGUUCCAUUUAUUCUUGCAAUUUAGACGCUUCACUGACUUCUGAUCAUCUUCAGAAUGGAUAAAAUGCCAAUGGACCGUACUGAAUGGUAAAUAAAUGGUACUACAGCCCACUGACUGUUAGUCGUUCGUUAAUAUAUCUGCAUAGGGAUAACACUGUGGAGACUAAAUCCUGAAUAAAACUGUCUGAGGUGAUACAAAAACGAACAUGAAAAGGAUGACCCUAAGCUAAAAAGAUUACUUGUGUUUGUUUGGCUCGAUGGCUGUAAUAGCAGCAGUAUUCAGCUGGAACAAUUAUUGGGUAGAAAAGAAGGGUUUUUUUUUGUAUAAGUUCAGAAUGCUUUCACUGUUAUUAUCUAAAAUUGAACUAUGUAUAUUAUUUUAAAUGGGUAAAUUUUUGUUUUGUAUCCAUGAAAUUGCUACCACAUUAACAAGAUUUUCCAGGCAUUAAUGGAUUGAUUUCUGUUAAAUUGUAACUAUAUUAAUUCAUCCCAAUUACCUCUAAGUAAAAUUUAAAUUAAGUUAAAUUGAAGAAAUUAAAAAUGUUUGAAAACCCUG